rnacentral:rRNA from 1 species
UACGGAGGAUGCGAGCGUUAUCCGGAUUUAUUGGGUUUAAAGGGUGCGUAGGCGGCCGAGUAAGUCAGCGGUGAAAUUUUGCAGCUUAACUGUAACAGUGCCAUUGAUACUGGGGAGCUAGGAUUUGGUUGCUGUGGGUGGAAUGUGUGGUGUAGCGGUGAAAUGCUUAGAGAUCACACAGAAUAUCGAUUGCGAAGGCAGCUCACAAAGCCAAGAUUGACGCUGAGGCACGAAAGUGUGGGGAUCAAACA